UACGGAGGGUGCAAGCGUUGUCCGGAAUCACUGGGCGUAAAGGGCGCGUAGGCGGCUCAUGAAGGCUGUGGUGAAAGUCCGGGGCUCAACCUCGGAUCGGCCGUGGCGACUCGUGGGCUGGAGCACUGUAGAGGCAGGUGGAAUUCCGGGUGUAGCGGUGGAAUGCGUAGAGAUCCGGAAGAACACCAGUGGCGAAGGCGGCCUGCUGGGCAGUGGCUGACGCUGAGGCGCGACAGCGUGGGGAGCAAACGAGGA
rnacentral:rRNA from 1 species